CAGUUCAUUUUCAGAGAUUCAAAAUAGCAAUUAUUCAUACCCUGUUGCUUUUCAAUGGUCUUUCCUUCUAGCCUUUCCAACAAUUCUACCAACUUGAUGCUUAUCCCUAUGCUGCUUGGUAUUUUCCUGCACAAAUCAUGCAGUAUAUUGCUUAUCCACCAUCCUUGGACAUCACUAAACCCAUUGCCUCUGAGAACAUUGAAAAUGCUGAUGUUGUGCCCCAGUGGUGAAAAAUUAAGAAUUCUCAGGAACUCCACAAUUAUGGCUGUUGAUGUGACUGAAAAUUCCAUUCUCUAAAAUUUUCCUGUCUUCCAUGUAAAACCAUCUUAUCCAAACAUUUAGACUAUUAUUUUAGAAAAAGAUAAUCCCAAGUUUUUGAGGUCUUUACUGUGUAUUAAACAGAAUAUCAUUAUUUUCCUUAAAACCAAAAUUUCCUAACAGUUUAUUGUCAUGACAUAUGAAGGCCACUGAAUCAGAGGGUAUUGAAGUCUUUACUAAGUUUCUAUUAUGGAAAUUUUGUUCAAAACUCUUUGAAUUGCUUCUUCUGUGUCAUCAUUCCAUGUAAUUGUGUGCAGUGACUGAGAUUUUUUCCUUUUCUU
rnacentral:lncRNA from 1 species